rnacentral:rRNA from 1 species
UCGCAAUCAAUUGGCUCUUAAUUGGGGUCAGGUAUGAAUGGAGUAACGGAGUUCGGCUGUCUCAAGAUUAAUAGUUUGAAGUUACUAUUUAGGUGAAAAAGCCUAAAAUUGGAAAAGGGACGAGAAGACCCUUAGAGUUUUACUUCAAAAUAUAAGUUAGGUAUUUUUAAUGGUUUAGUUGGGGCAACAUAGGAGCAUAAUCUCCUUAUAAUUAACCGAUUAUUUUAAAUUUGGAUAAACUACCUUAGGGAUAACAGCAUAAUUUAUUAAAUAAGUUUGUGACCUCGAUGUUGGACUAGGAAAUCUWAARGCUAGCCG